AAAAAGGAUGUUUUUGUCUGGCCAUCACACCAUGAAGUUGAAGAAAAGCUUAUGAGAUUCCUAAAUGUACCGGAUAUUGAUAGGACAGGAAAUUUUCUACACAUGAAAGCUUCCUUACAGGAACAGUGAGCAAGAUUAGUUGAUCACACAAGGAAAGCUCACGAGAAGAAUGAUAAGAAAGAAAGGGAAUACCUCACGCAUAAACUCAUGAAAGGUAAGAUUACUAUCAAUGAACUUGAUAUGAUGCAAACAAAUGGAUUGAUUCAAUUGAUGCUUGAUAAGAUGAACCAGUGCAACAGAAGGAUCGCACAACUGGACAUGUUAGAAGAACAGGAGAACCAGUCACUUUCAACAGCCAAUCAACAUCUUCCCUCUCUUGUUCAGAUGAGAGGACAGAAUAAAGCUGGUGGAGUUUGGCGAGUGGCGUGAAUGCAAUUUUCUCAGCUCCAGAAUUGAUUGAAAGCU
rnacentral:lncRNA from 1 species